UGGGGAAUAUUGGACAAUGGGGGAAACCCUGAUCCAGCGACGCCGCGUGGGUGAAGAAGGCCUGCGGGUUGUAAAGCCCUUUCGGUAGGGACGAAAACUCCUGCUCUAACACGGCAGGAGCUUGACUUAACCUACAAAAGAAGCACCGGCUAACUCUGUGCCAGCAGCCGCGGUAAUACAGAGGGUGCGAGCGUUAAUCGGAAUUACUGGGCGUAAAGCGCACGUAGGCGGCUUGGCAUGUCGGGUGUGAAAUCCCCGGGCUCAACCUGGGAACUGCAUCCGAAACUGCCUUGCUAGAGUAUGGGAGAGGGAGGCGGAAUUUCCGGUGUAGCAGUGAAAUGCGUAGAUAUCGGAAGGAACAUCAGUGGCGAAGGCGGCCUCCUGGACCAAUACUGACGCUCAGGUGCGAAAGCGUGGGGAGCAAACAGG
rnacentral:rRNA from 1 species